UACGUAGGUGGCAAGCGUUAUCCGGAAUUAUUGGGCGUAAAGAGCGCGCAGGUGGUUGAUUAAGUCUGAUGUGAAAGCCCACGGCUUAACCGUGGAGGGUCAUUGGAAACUGGUCGACUUGAGUGCAGAAGAGGGAAGUGGAAUUCCAUGUGUAGCGGUGAAACGCGUAGAGAUAUGGAGGAACACCAGUGGCGAAGGCGGCUUCCUGGUCUGUAACUGACGCUGAGGCACGAAAGCGUGGGGAGCAAACAGGAUUAGAUACCCCGGUAGU
rnacentral:rRNA from 1 species